UUUUAUUUUCUGCAGAUGUAUCUGGUAAUGCGGGUGGGUCCUCGGAAGAAACAUCAUCUGGUAGUGGUACUGGUUCUUCAUUAGUAGCUUCUAUGUUGUUCACUACGGAACCAGAGAAAAGUUCUUAGAGGCCUGGAGUUUACCUGGAGAGAGUUCCGGGGGUCAACGCCCCCGCGGCUCGGUCUGUGACCAGGCCUCCUGGUGGGCCAGUGAAGAGGCAGGGCCAGGAGCUAUGAAUCGACCCCUGCAACCAAACCUAGAAGAUACGCACUGAGACGACAAUUCCAGCAAGCAACCGAGUGAUAAGACAUCACUGAAGCAUCGCAACAAGAGUGAGAACACUACAACUUGUGCACUCGCCAGGAGAAACCUCUAAACUACACGUAUCCUGGAUAAGAUAUAUCGAUUAAAGGAACGUGUGCGGUCUCAGGAAGUUUUAGCAGCGUCCAGUAAAAUAAGAUGAUGGAAGAAUUUGUAGGAUGUGAAGAUAAAGUUCUCCAUAGUGGUAAUGAUGAUACAAAGUUUACAUGCUGGAGACCAUUCUCACUCGACUCACUCCCAGUUGUUGAAGGGUUUAGUUCAUAUGAAGAGUUUCACGAUAUAGUAAGAAACUGUGCACAUGGAUGACUAUCGAGAGAUACGGAGAAUCGGCAAAAUGAAACCAUAUUGCUUGACAAAACACACUCACACACACCUGCUAAAAAAAACUACCAGAUCUGUGUGGGCUCUGGUAUGGCAUCAGCGUCCCCGAUGAUGGUCAGAAUAACUGGUACGGAAAUGUCAGCUUUACUGUAAACUUCAGGAGUUUCCUUCAGAAAAUUAAAAAUUAUAAUAUCUAUUUCAUGGAAGUUGUUGAUUAUAGUGCGAGCAAUGCAACGAGACUUUUGAUAACAAAUAAAAUGCUCCCGCUUCCCAGCUACGACCCGCACAGCUAUGGAGGUCCAUGGUACUCCCAAGAUGGGAGAGACUGGUUUCUUACUGACUGUCGCAGUACGAUCGUAAAUAUAAUAAAUAUGGUCACAAAGUUGAAUUUUUUCUCGAACUUUCUGAUCACCAACGUGCUUCUUUGCUGGACAUGUCAUCAGUAGAUCCCGUCAACCAUUCUGACGCUAAUAAUAAUCAGACCAAGCAUAAAUGCAGGAAAUUCGGAUCGGGUCAAAAGUUUAAUACCGGUGAGUGCCCUUUUCCAUAUUCCGUAGAGGAAACUCGAGAGAUAUUAAUAAGCUAUGAUUACUAAACUAA